ACUGCGGCUGCCGGGUGAGCCCACCCGGGGGUCGCCCGGGCCGGCCCAGCUCCGCCAGAUUCGGGCUGCGGUCUUCCCUCCGCUUGCAGUUGGGAGGGUGGGCGUGCCCUUGCAACCCCUUUCCUGUACCUUCUCUGCAGGUUUUUAGAACUUCAGCCAUAAAAAUGGGCAGAAUUUUCCUUGAUCAUAUCGGUGGUACCCGUCUGUUUUCUUGUGCAAACUGUGAUACGAUCCUGACCAACCGCUCAGAACUCAUCUCCACUCGUUUCACAGGCGCCACUGGCAGAGCAUUUCUUUUUAACAAGGUAGUUAACCUGCAGUACAGUGAAGUUCAAGAUCGGGUCAUGCUCACUGGCCGCCACAUGGUUCGAGAUGUGAGCUGCAAAAACUGCAAUAGCAAACUGGGAUGGAUCUAUGAGUUUGCCACUGAAGACAGCCAGCGAUAUAAGGAAGGCCGCGUGAUCCUGGAACGUGCUCUAGUUCGAGAGAGUGAGGGCUUUGAGGAGCAUGUACCAUCUGAUAACUCUUGAAGAUACAGAGAGAAAUCCAUCUUUUCCCAGGUCUCCUUCACUGAAAACAAAAAUCUACUUACAUACACUGUCACCUUAGCAUCAGAGUCGGAUUAAUGAACUGCGGAACAAGAGGUUGUGAGA
rnacentral:sRNA from 1 species